CGCGUAGGCGGUUUUUUAAGUCAGAUGUGUAAUCCCCGAGCUCAACUUGGGAACUGCAUCUGAGACUGGAAGGCUAGAGUACUGGAGAGGGUGGUGGAAUUCCUCGUGUAGCGGUGAAAUGCGUAGAGAUGAGGAGGAACACCAGUGGCGAAGGCGGCCACCUGGACAGUAACUGACGCUGAGGCGCGAAAGUGUGGGUAGCAAACAGGAUUAGAUACCCUGGUAGUCCACGCUGUAAACGAUGAACACUUGGUGUGGAGGGAGUUGACCCCCUUCCGUGCCGGAGCUAACGCGUUAAGUGUUCCGCCUGGGGAGUACGGUCGCAAGGCUGAA
rnacentral:rRNA from 1 species